UACAGAACAGACCAACCACCAGUGUAGUUGCUCCAGUUACCACAGGUAAUGAAUAGAGGGGCCCUGCCCUCAGUCAGGGGAGGGAGAGGGAUAACAGAGUUUAUUGGACUGUGUGGAUCCGAUGGCCUGGCACAUCAGAACCACAGAAAUAUAAGGCAUUGGUGGAUACCGGUGCACAGUGCACUCUAAUGCCCUCGAAUCAUGAAGGGACAGAAUCAGUCCAUAUUUCUGGAGUGACUGGGGGUUCUCAAGAACUGACUGUGUUGGAGGCCAAAAUAAGCCUCACUGGUAAAGACUGGCAAAAGCAUCCUAUUGUGACUGGCCCAGGGGCUCCAUGCAUACUGGUGUCAUGGUUUUGUAACUUCGCUAUUGGUAUUCCACAUCAUAACAUCAUGGACAAAAGAGAAGAACUACGUAUCCCAGAGGACCUCACGGUCAGAGAAGGAAGACACAUCACGGAAGAUACGUCAUCUGGUUGCGCGCGGUGCUUCUUCACUUUCGCUUGCUGCCGGGAGAGGAGUGGGUGUGCUUUCCAAGCCGGGCGCCUUCAUCAAGUAAGGCUUUCGGUUUCGGAAACUCUCUCACUCUCUCUCUCUCUCCCUCUCUAUCGCUCUUUCGCUCUCUCUCCCUCAUUCCAUUUGGUUUAUUAUACUUACUCCCAAUUAGAUUGUAUUGUAUCGUGUCAUCUUGCAUCUCAACAUCAUAGUUAGUAAAAUAAGUUCUCCUUCUUAGAUUGUUGCCACCGCUUCGUUUUUCUCGGGAAGUGAAGGGGGAGGGGGGCCCACAAGCCUACCGGCCCCCUGUCACGGGCACAGAUCUAUCUAGGUAACUCCGUGACAUAUAGACAUG
ensembl:lncRNA